rnacentral:rRNA from 1 species
GACGAACGCUGGCGGCGUGCUUAACACAUGCAAGUCGAACGGAAAGGCCCUGCUUUUGUGGGGUGCUCGAGUGGCGAAAGGGUGAGUAACACGUGAGUAACCUGCCCUUGACUUUGGGAUAACUUCAGGAAACUGGGGCUAAUACCGGAUAGGAGCUCCUGCUGCAUGGUGGGGGUUGGAAAGUUUCGGCGGUUGGGGAUGGACUCGCGGCUUAUCAGCUUGUUGGUGGGGUAGUGGCUUACCAAGGCUUUGACGGGUAGCCGGCCUGAGAGGGUGACCGGCCACAUUGGGACUGAGAUAGGGCCCAGACUCCUACGGGAGGCAGCAGUGGGGAAUAUUGCACAAUGGGCGGAAGCCUGAUGCAGCAACGCCGCGUGCGGGAUGACGGCCUUCGGGUUGUAAACCGCUUUCGCCUGUGACGAAGCGUGAGUGACGGUAAUGGGUAAAGAAGCACCGGCUAACUACGUG